rnacentral:rRNA from 1 species
AUUGAACGCUGGCGGCAGGCCUAACACAUGCAAGUCGAGCGGAUGAAGGGAGCUUGCUCCUGGAUUCAGCGGCGGACGGGUGAGUAAUGCCUAGGAAUCUGCCUGGUAGUGGGGGAUAACGUCCGGAAACGGGCGCUAAUACCGCAUACGUCCUGAGGGAGAAAGUGGGGGAUCUUCGGACCUCACGCUAUCAGAUGAGCCUAGGUCGGAUUAGCUAGUUGGUGGGGUAAAGGCCUACCAAGGCGACGAUCCGUAACUGGUCUGAGAGGAUGAUCAGUCACACUGGAACUGAGACACGGUCCAGACUACUACGGGAGGCAGCAGUGGGGAAUAUUAGACAAUGGGCGAAAGCCUGAUCCAGCCAUGCCGCGUGUGUGAAGAAGGUCUUCGGAUUGUAAAGAACUUUAAGUUGGGAGGAAGGGCAGUAAGUUAAUACCUUGCUGUUUUGACGUUACCAACAGAAUAAGCACCGGCUAACUUCGUG